AUUGAACGCUGGCGGCAGGCCUAACACAUGCAAGUCGAGCGAGCGGCGGACGGGUGAGUAAUGUAUGGGGACUGCACGCUAGAGGGGGAUAACUAAUGGCAACGGUAGCUAAUACCGCAUACUAUCGGAUAACCCAUAUGGGAUUAGAUAGUAGGUGAGGAAAUGGCGAACCUAGGCGACGAUCCCUAGCUUGUCUUAGAGGAUGAUCAGCCAAACUGGGCCUGAGACACGGCCCAGACUCCGACGGAGGCAGCAGUGGGGAAUAUGGCACAAGGGGCGCAAGCCUGAUGCAGCCAUGCCGCGUGUAUGAAGAAGGCCCUAGGGUUGUAAAGUACUUUCAGUCGGGAGGCGUUACCGACAGAAGAAGCACCGGCUAACUCCGUGCCAGCAGCCGCGGUAAUAC
rnacentral:rRNA from 1 species